GAUGAACGCUGGCGGCGUGCCUAAUACAUGCAAGUCGAGCGAACAGACGAGGAGCGUGCUCCCCUGACGUUAGCGGCGGACGGGCGAGUAACACGUGGAUAAGCUACCUAUAAGACUGGGAUAACUUCGGGAAACCGGAGCCAAUAACGGCUAACAUGAUGAACGGGAUGGUUCAACAGUGAAAGACGGUCUUGCUGUCACUUAUAGAUGGAUCCGCGCCGGAUUAGCUAGUUGGUAAGGUAACGGCUUACCAAGGCAACGAUGCGUAGCCGACCUGAGAGGAUGAUCGGCCACACUGGAACUGAGACACGGUCCAGACUCCUACGGGAGGCAGCAGUAGGGAAUCUUCCGCAAUGGGCGCAAGCCUGACGGAGCAACGCCGCGUGAGUGAAGAAGGUCUUCGGAUCGUAAAACUCUGUUAUUGGGGAAGAACAAAUGUGUAAGUAACUCUGCACGUCUUGACGGUACCUAAUCAGAAAGCCACGGCUAACUACGUG
rnacentral:rRNA from 1 species